rnacentral:tRNA from 3 species
GCCCCUAUAGCUCAGUCGGCAGAGCAUACGACUUUUAAUCGUAGGGUCCUAGGUUCGAGUCCUAGUGGGGGCA